GGAGAGGUGCCCGAGAGGCUGAAGGGAGCGGUUUGCUAAACCGUUAUACGCUCAAAAGGUGUAUCGUGGGUUCGAAUCCCACCCUCUCCG
rnacentral:tRNA from 1 species